CAAUAGCGUAUAUUAAAGUUGUUGCAGUUAAAAGCUCGUAGUUGAACUUCUGGCUAUCCUUGCAGCUGGCUUCGGUCGUUGUAAGGGUGGUCAUCCGCUUGGGAACUACGUUCGAACUUCACUGUUCGGCGUAAGGAACAGGCAAUUUACUUAGAAAAAUUAGAGUGUUCAAGGCAGGCUAUCGCCCUGAAUACACAAGCUUGGAAUAAUGAAAUAGGACUAUUUCCAUUUUAUUGGUUAUUGGAAUUAGUAAUGAUUAAUAGGGACAGUUGGGGAUAUUAGUAUUUAAUUGUCAGAGGUGAAAUUCUUGGAUUUAUUAAAGACUAACUUAUGCGAAAGCAUUUAUCAAGGAUGUUUUCAUUAAUCAAGAACGAAAGUUAGGGGAUCAAAGAUGAUUAGAUACCAU
rnacentral:rRNA from 1 species